AUGUUUGACUUCCUCAUGGGGUCCAGACUCGAGCGGUUCCUCAAGAAGCUCGCCCAGAGCGAGGCCGGCGGCUUCAGCGCCGUCCGCCCCUGUGACAACCCGCCGGAUUGCAAGGCCGCCAUCAAGAUCAUGCCCACCGUCUUCGUCACCACCUGCGCUGAUUCCCACUUCUUAGUUUGCAAGGAGGCCUUCGAGCUGGGCGACUAGGCCAAGGAGAUGCCCCACAGCCACAUGUACCACUAGGACUGCAUCCUGCCGUGGCUCGUGCUGCGUAACUCGUGUCUCGUGUGCCGGCACAAGCUGCCCACAGAUGUGGGCAGCAACAUCGGGGCUGAGGCUGGCAGUGAGGAGGAGACGAUGGUUGGGUUUACGAUUUGGUGGCUCCCUGGUGGAGGCUUUGAUGUUAGGAGGUUCGCUGGUGGCAGGAGGGCCGAUGAGAGGGAUCUCCCAGUUGUCUACACUGAGGUGGAUGGGGGUUUCAACAAUGGUGAUGCACUGAGGAAGAUCUCAUGGUCAUCGAGAGGGAGCCGUUCGUCACAGAGAGGAGUUAGCAGAUGCAUGUUCGACAACAUGUUUGCUUGCUUUGGACACACCCAUCCUCGAGGUUGGAGUGGAGCUCAGUUUUCACCCGUGGACUGA
rnacentral:rRNA from 1 species